AAAUGACUCUCGGCAACGGAUAUCCCGGCUCUUGCAUCGAUGAAGAACGUAGCGAAAUGCGAUACUUGGUGUGAAUUGCAGAAUCCCGUGAACCAUUGAGUCUUUGAACGCAAGUUGCGCCCGAAACCAUUCGGUUGAGGGCACGUCUGCUUGGGUGUCACGA
rnacentral:rRNA from 1 species